GGANAGUGGAGGAGUCAAGCUUGUAAGAGGUAUCAGUCACAAACUAAAAUGCUUCUACACCAAUGCACAGAGUAUGAGAAAUAAAAAAGGAGAACUGGAGAUCCUAACACAGGAAGAUAAAUAUGAUGUCAUAGGCAUUACGGAAACCUGGUGGGAUAACGCACAUGAAUGGAACACGGAUAUCGAAGGCUACAACUUAUUUUUGCGAAACAGACUUAACAAAAGAGGAGGGGGUAUUGCACUGUAUGUUUAAAAAGCAUUUGUCUCCUCAGAGAUUCAGGUUUCAGAGAAUGGAAGCCCGGUAGAAUCUGUCUGGGUAAGAAUUCAAGGAGAGAACAACAGAAAGGACACCAUUGUAGGAGUUUAUUACAGGCCCCCUGGACAAACAGAAGAUAUGGAUGCUCUCUUUCUAGAUCAGAUGGCUAAACUCUCAAGAAAGCAUGACAUAGUGCUUAUGGGAGAUUUUAACUAUCCAGACAUUUGUUGGGAAUCCCUCUCAGGCAAAAGUCACAAGUCUAAUAAGUUCUUAUCCUCUCUUGCUGACAACUUCAUCUACCAAAAGGUGGAGGAGAAAACAAGAGGACUGGCUAUCCUCGAUCUAAUUCUUACCAACAGAGAGGAAAUGGUUGAGGAAAUCAGAGUUUCUGGGACCUUAGGAGGCAGUGACCAUGCUAUCCUUAAAUUCUGGAUAAUAAGGGAAGGAAAGCCUGAGAGGACUCAGACUUCAAAGUUGGACUUCAGACGGGCGGAUUUUGAUGGACUCAGAAGGAGGGUAGGAAGGAUAAAAUGGUUGAAUGUACUAAAGGAUAGAAAUGUCCAAGAAGGAUGGGAUACUUUGCGAAAUGCAAUACUAGAAGCACAGUCUUUAACAAUUCCUCAAAGAAAGAAGAACGGGAAGCAUCUAAAGAGACCAGGGUGGAUAAACCCAAAACUUAAAAACUUGCUAAAGAGGAAAAAAGAAAUGUUCAAGAAAUGGAAGGAGGGGUAUAUAUCUAAAGAAGAAUAUAAUGUAGUCUGCACAAACUGCAGGGCAAGUAUCAGAAAAGCUAAAGCUAGAAAUGAAUUGAGGCUUGCAAGAGAGACUAAAAACAAUAAAAAAGGGUUUUGGGGAUAUGUCAAAAGCAAAAGAAAAGUUAAAGAGGCUAUAGGAUGUUUACAGAGUGAAAAUGGUGAAUUGAUAAAAAAUGAUAUUGAGAAGGCUGAGCUUCUGAACUCCUAUUUUGUAUCUGUGUUCUCUAAGAAAGAUAGCGUAACAGCGACUGACCUUCGUUGUGCUAGUGAAGGAAUAAGAGAAUCAAAGCACAUAAUCGAAACAGAGAGGGUAAGGGAAUACUUAGCUAAUUUAAAUGAAUUUAAGUCUCCAGGUCCAGAUGGAUUACAUCCUAGGGUACUGAAGGAAUUAGCAGGGGUUAUUGCUGAACCACUUGCUGUAAUCUUUGAAAAUUCAUGGAGAACAGGAGAAGUCCC
rnacentral:lncRNA from 1 species